CGCGUAGGCGGUUUGGUCAGUCAGAUGUGAAAGCCCCGGGCUCAACCUGGGAACUGCAUUUGAUACUGCCAAACUAGAAUGUGGUAGAGGGAAGUGGAAUUCCGGGUGUAGCGGUGAAAUGCGUAGAUAUCCGGAGGAACAUCAGUGGCGAAGGCGGCUUCCUGGACCAACAUUGACGCUGAGGUGCGAAAGCGUGGGUAGCAAACA
rnacentral:rRNA from 1 species